UACGUAGGCAGCGAGCGUUGUUCGGAGUUACUGGGCGUAAAGGGUGUGUAGGCGGUUGUUUAAGUUUGGUGUGAAAUCUCCCGGCUCAACUGGGAGGGUGCGCCGAAUACUGAAUGACUCGAGUGUGGGAGAGGUGAGUGGAAUUCCUGGUGUAGCGGUGAAAUGCGUAGAUAUCAGGAGGAACACCGGUGGUGUAGACGGCUCACUGGACCAUAACUGACGCUGAGACACGAAAGCGUGGGGAGCAAACAGG
rnacentral:rRNA from 1 species